GAAAAAGUUAGAAGUGAAGCAACUUGAACUUGCUCUCCAAAUACACAAAAUAUGGAAUUGAAGACUGUAAGAAGUAAUUUGAAUCAGGUCAAUCAAUCGCUGGGUCUCACCCUGUCACCAAGGCUGGGGUGCAGUGGCACAAUCAUGGAUCACUGAAGCCUCAAACUCUGGGGCUCAAGCAGACCUCCUGUCUCAGCCUCCCAACUAGCUGGGACCACAGGCCAUAUGAGAUGGAGGCAAUUUGUUUAUCAGUCUCAGUCUCCAGAACUGAAUUUUUUGCCAAGGAAACUGGAGAAACUCUCGUCCGGGUACCAACCAAGGAGAUUCUUUCUACAAAAGAAGGAACAGACACUGAAUGACUCCUUUCCCUUCCUCUAACAUGGAAGCAGAAUUAGACACUCCUGCCAGCCUGACCCAAGUCUGUACAGGACAUCCUGAAAUGUCUUAAAGAUUCCUGGGUGAUUGUGAGAGGAUUCCUAGUGACCAUGGACUGAUGACCCUAUGUUGAUCCAGGCAGGAAAGACUCAAGCUGAUUAUAAAUAGAAAAUGGAACUGCCCUGGUAGAGCUGCAGAACCUGGAUCUACGUGUGAUAUCACCUGUUCUGA